rnacentral:rRNA from 1 species
GACGAACGCUGGCGGCGUGCCUAAUACAUGCAAGUCGAGCGGACGAAUCGAAAGCUUGCUUUUGAUUCGUUAGCGGCGGACGGGUGAGUAACACGUGGGCAACCUGCACUGUAGACGGGGAUAACACCGAGAAAUCGGUGCUAAUACCGGAUAACACGAAAUGUCGCAUGACGUUUCGUUGAAAGACGGCGCAAGCUGUCGCUACAGGAUGUGCCCGCGCCGCAUUAGCUAGUUGGUGAGGUAACGGCUCACAAAGGCGACGAUGCGUAGCCGACCUGAGAGGGUGAUCGGCCACACUGGGACUGAGACACGGCCCAGACUCCUACGGGAGGCAGCAGUAGGGAAUCUUCCGCAAUGGACGAAAGUCUGACGGAGCAACGCCGCGUGAGCGAAGAAGGCCUUCGGGUCGUAAAGCUCUGUUGUUAGGGAAGAACAAGUAACGCAGUAACUGGCGUUACCGUGACGGUACCUAACGAGAAAGCUACGGCUAACUACGUG